ensembl:lncRNA
GGCUGCCGCAUGAAACAAACAGUGACAGGUAAGUUCAACCAGAUGUUCAGAUGUUCCACCAGGCCUGGUUCAGGUCCACUUUCCUGCAGUGGGACUCAGCUGUGCUGCUCCUGAUUGCUGUAUUGAUUUCUCCUCUUGGACAAACAAUCUUCCCUGAAACCACCCCCACAUUUACCCCGCUGUACAUGAUGUUGCACCGCUGCUCCAUGCUGAACUGGGAUUGGCAAAAUCCUGGAUUAGAGCAUCCAUAAUCUGGUUGCUGUGGCGCUAUGGGACACUGCAGCUCGGCAGAGAUACCAAUCCCAUCGCCAUGGUAACCACAAGAGGGAGAAUCCACCGUAGAGAGCAGCAGCAGGAUUGGACGUGGAGACACUCACACUCGGUUAAUGGCACAUUAGUGGCGGGAGGAGACGCAGGACUUCACUGCUGCUUUAUUUAAUUCUGUUUUCUGCUGUAAUUAAAUAGAAAUCUGUGUUUAAUCCUGAAUCACCUGAGUCUGUAAGAUCUGGACGAUCAAAACCCUGAAUCCAUCAUCCAAAGUUGGAAGCUCACCUCAGCGUAGCAGAUGAUAGUGUGGCUUAGUUAUGCAAGAAGAAAAGAUCACCCAAAGGCGCUUAGCCGGAGACAGACAGGACACAUCCUGAAAAAAAAAGCAAAAAAAACCCGAUCUGCCUCAACAUCUUUUCACAGAAGUCAACAUUUAGCUACUUUAGGUCUUAACAGACGACUCUGUCUUUCUUUUGCAUAAAAGCGUCUCAUAUUCUCACCUGUUUCCACUGGUUUCCUGCCAGAUAACGGUUUUAUUUAUUGGGAGAUUUGUUUCUGUAAAGCAUAG